CGAUAAUGAUGUUGGGCAGAUGGAAUUUAUCUCCUCCUGGUCUUCUAUCGCUUAGUAUGGUUGACAAAGCAACUCUAGGUUUAAAUAAGGAAUUAAGUUGGGACAGGAUUUGUACUGGCAACUUCACAAGUAUAUUUUGUCUCUUGAAAAUAGAGGUACCAAGGUAAUGUAUUGGAUUGCCUGGUUGUAGGAGGGUUAUCUAUUGCUAUGCUGUUUGUCACUGCCAUACGCAGAAAGAACUUUCAUUAUAUAUAUGUUGCUGUCUAGGAAAUUGAGAGAUGAACUGGAAGGUUGCUUCCCUCUAGGCAGUUGGGCCUUUGUCAUACGCAUUGCAAAAAGCUGAAAACACAAGCAAAACAAAGGGUUGCCGAUCUGGGGAAAAAGCAGAAAUAGACACACCCAAAGUUACCAAACCUUCACCAAUUCUAAGCUCCUUCUCUCUAUCACAUACGCCGGCUCUACUAUUGUCGGUGUUUGACGCCCAGUUGCCCAUAGCCGACAAAUAUAGAAGUACUGACCAGCGCCACCAGAAUAUUCUUGAGUUCGAUUUUGCUGAAUAACUGAGUUUAGUUAUAUUUUCUCUUGAAAAUAGAGAGACUCGUGUAAUGGUCAUAUUUUUAAAUUUUCAUAUCUUAUUUUCUGUUUUGAGGAUUCAAAUGUUAGUAUAAAUUGUUUAGUGAGGGGAAUAUUGAAUGCAGUUGAGCCUUUAAGCCAUGUGAGGUGAUUGACCUGUUUGACAGUCAUUGCAGUCCAGAUUAAUCCUCAUUAAGUUCAUUUUUGUCGUAAACAAGUGUCUAAUAAAAAGAUUCUUUGAACAUUAUUUCAUGAAAUUUUGCUAACUUUAUUAUAUGAUAAUAAUAAAUUGCACAAUUGUUUGUACACACAAGUUUCUCCUAUACCAAUAAGCUUUAUGGAUUUUGAUGUCAUUUUUAUUAUUUUUUAUUAGUUACCGUACUUUGUGCAUGUUUGGCAAAAGCAUAGCUUAUGAUUUAAGCUGUCAAACAUACUUUUACUAUCCACCUCUUAUCACACAAUAAGACCAGAAAUUUACAAUUAUUUGUAGGCACUUCAAGCAUCUACUUUGUCAAUAUCCGAAAGAGAUGUAGAGCAUUCUCUACAAAAGAAUUAAAAGUAACUAUCUAUUGAAAUAAAUGAUUUUUAGAUUAUUUUUCAGGUUAAAUUAUUUUAGUAAUGGAGCAAUCAGAGUCUCUGUCAGAAGUGCAUUCCUUGAGUCAAAAAAUUUUAUGAUUUGCUGCUCCAUAUUUUUGCAAUCAGAAUCAAAUUUUUAAUGGAGCAAUCAGACUUUCUUUAACAAAAUUUUUAAUGUAUUUAUAUAUAAGUUAUGCAUAUCAUUAUCAGUUCUAAUGAUUGAUGCUCCAUAUUUUUGCUUUUCAUCUUCUCAUUGUUGUUUUCUUAAUGCAUAUAUAGAUGCCGCCAAAAAGAAUGUUUAAGCACGUGCUACCCAUAGCAUCUUCUACUCCUCCAAGCUCGAGCAAUCGAAGCCCAUCUCCUCAUGGACAAGGGCAGCAGUCUAAUCCAUCAGUUUCUCCUGUUUCGAUACCUUCAACAGCUCAUUUCGGUGUUAACACGACAACUUAAUCCAGUGUAGAUCCUACAACUCAAUGUACCCCUGGCCAGGACGCAUCCAAUGGUCCUCUUCAUAAAAACACUCAUGGACUUAGUCGCGGACUGGCUUCACAAAAAUUUGGGCUCUAGUGGUUUGAUAUCGUCAGGGGUAUUCUUUUAGAAAUGCACCUACUUAUAUGACAAUAAUCCUAUUAUCUAAUAUUGGUGACUGAAAUGUGGAUUGUGUAAUUAAAGAAGACCCAGAUUUCUAGAACAUUAUGCACUGGAUCUGUAUAUAUUUUGGGUUUUCUGUUCCAACUAUCACCUUUGUUAACAUUAAAAGAUGCUAUUUACAGUUAUGAAGCAAUUUUUGAGGAAUGUAGAUGUUUAGUUAUUAUUUAUUCUAUGUUAUUUCCUCUCAGGCUCUACACAUAUUGGCAUCUAUAAAGUUCUCUGGAUGUAACUGAUGAUAGAAUUUUCUUCUUGAGA